UACGUAGGGUGCAAGCGUUAAUCGGAAUUACUGGGCGUAAAGCGUGCGCAGGCGGUUGUGCAAGACAGGGGUGAAAUCCCCGGGCUUAACCUGGGAAUGGCAUUUGGGACUGCAAGGCUAGAGUGUGGCAGAGGAGACUGGAAUUCCUGGUGUAGCAGUGAAAUGCGUAGAUAUCAGGAGGAAUACCGAUGGCGAAGGCAGGUCUCUGGGCUAACACUGACGCUCAUGCACGAAAGCGUGGGGAGCAAACAGG
rnacentral:rRNA from 1 species